rnacentral:rRNA from 1 species
AUGCAUGUCUAAGUAUAAGCAAUUAUACCGUGAAACUGCGAAUGGCUCAUUAAAUCAGUUAUCGUUUAUUUGAUAGUACCUUUACUACAUGGACAACUGUGGUAAUUCUAGAGCUAAUACAUGCUAAAAACCUCGACUUCGGAAGGGGUGUAUUUAUUAGAUAAAAAACCAAUGCCCUCCGGGGCUCCUUGGUGAUUCAUAAUAACUUAACGAAUCGCAUGACCUUGCGUCGGCGAUGGUUCAUUCAAAUUUCUGCCCUAUCAACUUUCGAUGGUAGGAUAGUGGCCUACCAUGGUUUCAACGGGUAACGGGGAAUUAGGGUUCUAUUCCGGAGAGGGAGCCUGAGAAACGGCUACCACAUCUAAGGAAGGCAGCAGGCGCGCAAAUUAUCCAAUGCCAAUACGGCGAGAUAGUGACAAUAAAUACUGAUACCGGGCUCUUUUGGGUCUGGUAAUUGGAAUGAGUACAAUUUAAAUCCCUUAACGAGGAACAAUUGGAGGGCAAGUCUGGUGCCAGCAGCCGCGGUAAUUCCAGCUCCAAUAGCGUAUAUUAAAGUUGUUGCAGUUAAAAAGCUCGUAGUUGAACCUUGGAUCCGGCCGGUUGGUCCGCCUCAUCGCGUGUACUGACUCGGAAGGAUCUUUCUUUCUGGGGAAACCGAUGGCCUUCAGUGGUCGUCGCGGGGAACCAGGACUUUUACUUUGAAAAAAUUAGAGUGUUCAAAGCAGGCCUUUGCUCGAAUACAUUAGCAUGGAAUAAUAGAAUAAGACGUGUGGUUUUAUUUUGUUGGUUUCUAAAACCGCCGUAAUGAUUAAUAGGGACAGUCGGGGAUGUCUGUAUUCUGUAGUCAGAGGUGAAAUUCUUGGAUCUACGGAAGACAAACUACUGCGAAAGCAUUCAUCAAGGAUGUUUUCAUUAAUCAGGGAACGAAAGUUAGGGGAUCGAAGACGAUCAGAUACCGUCGUAGUCUUAACCAUAAACUAUGCCGACUAGGGAUCGGACGGUGUUUUCAUUUUGACCCGUUCGGCACCUUACGAGAAAUCAAAGUGUUUGGGCUCUGGGGGGAAUAUGGUCGCAAGGCUGAAACUUAAAGAAAUUGACGGAAGGGCACCACAAGGCGUGGAGCCUGCGGCUUAAUUUGACUCAACACGGGGAAACUCACCAGGUCCAGACAUGCUUAGGAUUGACAGAUUGAGAGCUCUUUCUUGAUUGUAUGGGUGGUGGUGCAUGGCCGUUCUUAGUUGGUGGAGUGAUUUGUCUGCUUAAUUGCGUUAACGAACGAGACCUUAACUUACUAAAUAGCCCGACUGGCAAUGCCGGCUGUUGGCUUCUUAGAAGGACUAUCGGCUCAAGCCGAUGGAAGUUUGAGGCAAUAACAGGUCUGUGAUGCCCUUAGAUGUCCUGGGCCGCACGCGCGCUACACUGACAGAGCCAACGAGUACAUCACCUUGGCCGAGAGGUCUGGGUAAUCUUGUUAAACUCUGUCGUGCUGGGGAUAGAGCAUUGCAAUUAUUGCUCUUCAACGAGGAAUGCCUAGUAAGCGCGAGUCAUCAGCUCGUGCUGAUUACGUCCCUGCCCUUUGUACACACCGCCCGUCGCUACUACCGAUUGAAUGGCUCAGUGAGGCCUCCGGACUGGCUUAGAGAGGGCGGCAACGUCCACUCAGAGCCGGAAAGCUGGUCAAACUGUGUCAUUUAGAGGAA